rnacentral:rRNA from 1 species
ACAGCAGUCGCCGCGGGAAUACAGAGGGUGCAAGCGUUAAUCGGAAUUACUGGGCGUAAAGCGCGCGUAGGUGGUUUGUUAAGUUGGAUGUGAAAUCCCCGGGCUCAACCUGGGAACUGCAUCCAAAACUGGCAAGCUAGAGUAUGGUAGAGGGUGGUGGAAUUUCCUGUGUAGCGGUGAAAUGCGUAGAUAUAGGAAGGAACACCAGUGGCGAAGGCGACCACCUGGACUGAUACUGACACUGAGGUGCGAAAGCGUGGGGAGCAAACAGGAUUAGAUACCCCAGUAGUCCCUGUCUCUUAUAA